GUAUCCUGGCUCAGGAUGAACGCUGGCGGCGUGCCUAAUACAUGCAAGUCGAACGAAUCCUCUUCGGAAGAUGAGUGGCGAACGGGUGAGUAAUACAUAGGUAACCUGCCCCUGUGCGGGGGAUAACAGGAGGAAACUCCUGCUAAUACCGCAUAGCCAUGAGCACCGCAUGGAGCUCAUGCCAAAUAUCCUUUAUGGGAUAGCGCAGGGAUGGACCUAUGGCGCA
rnacentral:rRNA from 1 species